AAGGGAUUCCCCUAGUAACUGCGAGUGAAGCGGGAAAAGCUCAAAUUUAAAAUCUGGCAGUCUUUGGCUGUCCGAGUUGUAAUCUAGAGAAGCAUUAUCCGCGCUGGACCGUGUACAAGUCUCCUGGAAUGGAGCGUCAUAGAGGGUGAGAAUCCCGUCUUUGACACGGACUGCCAGGGCUUUGUGAUGUGCUCUCAAAGAGUCGAGUUGUUUGGGAAUGCAGCUCAAAAUGGGUGGUAAAUUCCAUCUAAAGCUAAAUAUUGGCGAGAGACCGAUAGCGAACAAGUACCGUGAGGGAAAGAUGAAAAGAACUUUGGAAAGAGAGUUAAACAGUACGUGAAAUUGCUGAAAGGGAAACGCUUGAAGUCAGUCGCGUUGGCCAGAGAUCAACCUUGCUUUUUUGCUUGGCUUACUUUCUGGUCGAUGGGUCAGCAUCAAUUUUAACUGGUGGAAAAAGUUCAAGGGAAUGUGGCAUCUUCGGAUGUGUUAUAGCCUUUGUUCACAUACAUUGGUUGGGAUUGAGGAACUCAGCACGCCGAAAGGCCGGGUUUUUUAAACCACGUACGUGCUUAGGAUGCUGGCAUAAUGGCUUUAAUCGACCCGUCUUGAAACACGGACCAAGGAGUCUAACAUGCCUGCGAGUGUUUGGGUGAAAAACCCGAGCGCGUAAUGAAAGUGAAAGUUGAGAUCCCUGUCGUGGGGAGCAUCGACGCCCGGAUCUGACCUUUUGUGACGAUUCUGCGGUAGAGCAUGUAUGUUGGGACCCGAAAGAUGGUGAACUAUGCCUGAAUAGGGUGAAGCCAGAGGAAACUCUGGUGGAGGCUCGUAGCGAUUCUGACGUGCAAAUCGAUCGUCAAAUUUGGGUAUAGGGGCGAAAGACUAAUCGAACCAUCUAGUAGCUGGUUCCUGCCGAA
rnacentral:rRNA from 1 species